GAUAGACUAUAUUUAUUUACUGCAAUAGUUAGCAAACAUAUGUGGUCGGGAGGUGAUUUUUAUUAAAACAACAGUCUCGUGGUUAUGACAUUUGAUCAGCCAAAUUCUUAAAUUAUAUUUAGUUCAAGAGUAUGCAGUUUGGAGAUAGAAUGAAAAAAGUGUUGCCUUUGCUGGCAGCAGCUGUUUUGAUUUAUCACGGGACUCUGUAUUACAUGAAGCCGGUCUAUGCACCCGAAGGUGGAAAAAACGCCCAGAACAAUAAGAAAGAGAGUUGAUUACAAGAGUAUAUGAUCGUGUGGAUGGACAAAUUUAAGUAGAUUACUUCUGUGUAUAGUAAAUAUUGUGAAACUUUUUUAUCAGGUACAAGUUGCCGGAAUUGGACAGUUGCCAGCUGUACAACAGCUAGUGAUGAGAACAUUUUGAGUUGUAGAUACUCGGCUAGUUAUGAGAGUCAGAAGACCAAGAGGAAUUACAAAUGCACAAAUCAUUAUUGUCUCUUUUAUAGGCAUCCUUGGAGGCAUUUAUAUCUGGAAACCAGUACUACAGAGAACUGUUUUUAGGAAAGAGGGCGUACCUGUGGAAGUCCCAGACAAGUGAAAAUACGAUUUCAUUAUGUGCAAAACUAUGGAUAAACAAGGGACAUUUUUGCAGCGACUUAGGAACAGACCUCUGUAUCCAGUAAUUCUUGGAUUUGCACUGACAAUAGGUGGAGUUAUUGGCUAUAAAUUUUUGUAUUUACCUAAAAAGAGAAGAAGAAAUAUGAAAGAAGCAGAGGAAAUGGCAGACUUCUUAUUCACAAAGGAACAGUUGCUAGCUCCUGAAGGUACUGGAGAAUCUGGUGACUGAAGCAUCUUAGUUAGCAAGAACUAUAAAUAUAUUUUGUAGCAUAUGGUGGUGUACAUAAGAUUUCAGUUUUGUCGUGCUGUCAUUUCCAGUUUGGAAGGGUGGUCUCUUGUUUUGAACAGUUUAUUAGUCACUAACCUUUGAAAGUAAAAUAUUUAAAAAAAAUAUUAACAUCAUUUUUUCUUUAAUUUUGCAUCUCUUUCACGAUCUUAGAGUAGGUGUAGUCUGAUUAGAAUUACUUCUGACACUUCAUGUGUUAGAGCUGGUUUUCUCCACUCACAGCGCUCAGUCACACCUGAACCAUUCACGUUGCUGAACUGCUUCAGCAGUUGGUCAGUUUACUUUCAAUUCCUUGUCUGACAUUCUUACUUGAUGUGUUCGGAUCCCGAAGCAUGGGUCUGGCACUUUUAUUUUGUAUUUGAUCACACUUGUUAACCACACCAAAAACAAAAAACACACACACAAAACAAUGCUAAUGAAAUGCAUAGAUUUCAUACACAUCACUAACCAAAACUGUCGGAUUCUUCCGCACAAGCUGUGAUUCAGCGUCACAUGUACAGUUAUAAGCACAGAGAUCAACUUAUGUUGGAUAAGCUUCACAUUGAAUGAAGCUGAAUUAUUUGAAGGCUGCAAUUCAAUGUUGCAGCUCAGUCAUCAGUCAUAAGUAGAGGACUCUAAGGCAAUAUAGUGGUGUAGAACACUAGCUAGUGUAUAAACAGUACAUAUAGAAGGUCAUAGCUUCAAAUCUCGUUAAAUGCCACAAAUUCUUUUUUAUUUCUAAAUCUAACCCAAAGACUUUGAUUAUUAUUUCUAUUCAGUCAAUGUAUUUCAAUAUAUUUUUUUUAUUUCUAAUAAGUUGCCAUGUCAUUUCCAUCAUCAUAUUGACUUUUUUACUUUCUCUUACUUAUCUUCCUAUCAUUCUUUAUUGAUUUGGAGUGUGGCAGUGUUGCCUAUAAUUGUAACCAAAUGUCAACUGGGACUGUUCAUCAGUUGGUAAUACAGCAGCUUGUGUAUCCCGUGUGAGGAUAGUUUUAGGUAACCAAUGACAGCAAUAAAUUAUAGUUUGCUUUCAGCGUUGAAAUGUCAAUUUUUUUUGUCUUGGGUUUGCUCAUAAAGAUUAGCUUUAGUUGCCAUGAGCAAAGUGAUCACAAUUUUAGUUAUGCUGCAGAUAUUUGAUCACUGUUUUUAUGGAUACACUGCAUGCCACAAGGCUGUGGCUAGGUUAGGACAUGCAUUUAAAUUCAGGUCUACAAAGUGCUCCAUAUGCUGAAGUUCAGUCAUUGGUCACUUAAAGUCAGCUGUGUUAUAUUUCUGUCAUACCUUGCGACAGCCGCUUCCAAUGUAUCGGUAAAUGAUUUUAGAAGUUAAGUAUCAAAUAAUUUUAAUUGGACUAUAGUACCUAGCAGAAACAGUUACUAAACACUGGUAUCUGUGAAAAUUGGUCCUAUAAAAAUAAUGUCCAUUAAAUUAAGUAAUGUUCUAUGCCACUUUGAUUUA